GACGAACGCUGGCGGUGUGCUUAACACAUGCAAGUCGAACGGUAAGGCCCUUUCGGGGGUACACGAGUGGCGAACGGGUGAGUAACACGUGAGUAACCUGCCCUCAUCUCUGGGAUAACAGUCGGAAACGGUUGCUAAUACUGGAUAUGAGCUUGCAUGGCAUCUUGUGGGUUGGAAAGAUUUUUUUGGUUUGGGUUGGACUCGCGGCCUAUCAGCUUGUUGGGGAGGUAGUGGCUCACCAAGGCUUCGACGGGUAGCCGGCCUGAGAGGGUGACAGGCCACAUUGGGACUGAGAUACGGCCCAAACUCCUACGGGAGGCAGCAGGGGGGAAUAUUGCACAAUGGACGGAAGUCUGAUGCAGAAACGCCGCGUGCGGGAUGACGGCCUUCGGGUUGUAAACCGCUUUCAAUUGUGACGAAGCUUUUUGUGACGGUAGCAGUAGAAGAAGCACCGGCUAACUACGUG
rnacentral:rRNA from 1 species